rnacentral:rRNA from 1 species
UACGUAGGGUGCAAGCGUUAAUCGGAAUUACUGGGCGUAAAGCGUGCGCAGGCGGUUUUGUAAGUCUGUCGUGAAAGCCCCGGGCUCAACCUGGGAAUUGCGAUGGAGACUGCAAGGCUUGAAUCUGGCAGAGGGGGGUAGAAUUCCACGUGUAGCAGUGAAAUGCGUAGAGAUGUGGAGGAAUACCGAUGGCGAAGGCAGCCCCCUGGGAUGAUACUGACGCUCAUGCACGAAAGCGUGGGGAGCAAACAGG